rnacentral:rRNA from 1 species
GUGAAAUCGAGUAGGGCGGGACACGUGACAUCCUGUCUGAAUAUGGGGGGACCAUCCUCCAAGGCUAAAUACUCCUGACUGACCGAUAGUGAACCAGUACCGUGAGGGAAAGGCGAAAAGAACCCCUGUGAGGGGAGUGAAAUAGAACCUGAAACCGUGUACGUACAAGCAGUGGGAGCCCUUCGGGGUGACUGCGUACCUUUUGUAUAAUGGGUCAGCGACUUACAUUUUGUAGCGAGGUUAACCGUAUAGGGGAGCCGUAGGGAAACCGAGUCUUAACUGGGCGUCUAGUUGCAAGGUGUAGACCCGAAACCGGGUGAUCUAGCCAUGGGCAGGUUGAAGGUUGAGUAACAUCAACUGGAGGACCGAACCCACUAACGUUGCAAAGUUAGGGGAUGACCUGUGGCUGGGGGUGAAAGGCCAAUCAAACUCGGAGAUAGCUGGUUCUCCCCGAAAGCUAUUUAGGUAGCGCCUCGGACGAAUACUACUGGGGGUAGAGCACUGUUUGGACUAGGGGGUCAUCCCGACUUACCAACUCCAUGCAAACUCCGAAUACCAGUAAGUAAUAUCCGGGAGACACACGGCGGGUGCUAACGUCCGUCGUGAAGAGGGAAACAACCCAGACCGCCGGCUAAGGUCCCAAAGUUCUGGUUAAGUGGGAAACGAUGUGGGAAGGCUCAGACAGCUAGGAUGUUGGCUUAGAAGCAGCCAUCAUUUAAAGAAAGCGUAAUAGCUCACUAGUCGAGUCGGCCUGCGCGGAAGAUGUAACGGGGCUCAAACCAGGCACCGAAGCCGCGGAUUCACACUUAUGUGUGAGUGGUAGGGGAGCGUUCUGUAAGUCUGCGAAGGUGUAUCGAGAGGUAUGCUGGAGAUAUCAGAAGUGCGAAUGCUGACGUAAGUAACGAUAAAGGGGGUGAAAAGCCUCCUCGCCGGAAGACCAAGGGUUCCUGUCCAACGUUAAUCGGGGCAGGGUGAGUCGACCCCUAAGGUGAGGCCGAAAGGCGUAAUCGAUGGGAAGCAGGUUAAUAUUCCUGCACGACUUGUAAUUGCGAUGGGGGGACGGAGAAGGCUAGGUGGGCCAGGCGACGGUUGUCCUGGUGAAAGUGCGUAGGUGGUGUUUCUAGGCAAAUCCGGAGACACAACACUGAGACACGAGACGAAGCCACUACGGUGGUGAAGCCAUUGAUGCCCUGCUUCCAGGAAAAGCCUCUAAGCUUCAGAUUACAAGUCAUCGUACCCCAAACCGACACAGGUGGUCGGGUAGAGAAUACCAAGGCGCUUGAGAGAACUCGGGUGAAGGAACUAGGCAAAAUAGAACCGUAACUUCGGGAGAAGGUUCGCUCUUGACAGUGAAGUCCCUUGCGGAUGGAGCAGUUGGGAGUCGCAGUGACCAGAUGGCUGGGACUGUUUAUCAAAAACACAGCACUCUGCAAACACGAAAGUGGACGUAUAGGGUGUGACACCUGCCCGGUGCCGGAAGGUUAAUUGAUGGGGUUAGCGCAAGCGAAGCUCUUGAUCGAAGCCCCGGUAAACGGCGGCCGUAACUAUAACGGUCCUAAGGUAGCGAAAUUCCUUGUCGGGUAAGUUCCGACCUGCACGAAUGGAAGAUGCGGUGUACCCGCGGCUAGACGGAAAGACCCCGUGAACCUUUACUACAGCUUGGCACUGAACAUUGAACCUACAUGUGUAGGAUAGGUGGGAGGCUUUGAAGGCGUGACGCCAGUUGCGCUGGAGCCGUCCUUGAAAUACCACCCUUGUAUGUUUGAUGUUCUAACGCAGGGCCCUGAAUCGGGCUCGCGGACAGUGCCUGGUGGGUAGUUUGACUGGGGCGGUCUCCUCCCAAAGAGUAACGGAGGAGCACGAAGGUUGGCUAAUCCUGGUCGGACAUCAGGAGGUUAGUGCAAUGGCAUAAGCCAGCUUAACUGCGAGACGGACAGGUCGAGCAGGUACGAAAGUAGGUCAUAGUGAUCCGGUGGUUCUGAAUGGAAGGGCCAUCGCUCAACGGAUAAAAGGUACUCCGGGGAUAACAGGCUGAUACCGCCCAAGAGUUCAUAUGAACGUCGUGAGACAGUUCGGUCCCUAUCUGCCGUGGGCGUUGGAUGAUUGAAGGGAGUUGCUCCUAGUACGAGAGGACCGGAGUGAACGAACCUCUGGUGUUCGGGUUGUCACGCCAGUGGCACUGCCCGGUAGCUAAGUUCGGAAUCGAUAACCGCUGAAAGCAUCUAAGCGGGAAGCGAGCCCUGAGAUGAGUCAUCCCUGACCCCUUGAGGGUCCUAAAGGGCCGUUGGAGACCACAACGUUGAUAGGUGGGGUGUGUAAGCGCGGCGACGUGUUGAGCUAACCCAUACUAAUUACCCGUGAGGCUUAACCAU